rnacentral:tRNA from 1 species
GAGGGUAUAGCUCCGUGAUAGAGCGCGUGCUUAGCAUGCACGAGGUCCUGGGUUCGUUCCCCAGUACCUGCA